CCCGGCGGGAGGCGCGGGGAGCCCCGGGGCGGCCGGGCUGCGGCAUCUCCGCGGGCGCGGGGAGAAGGCUCCGGAGCGGGGCGCGGCCUCGCGCCCACCGCUACCCCGCCGGGGGGAGGGGGGCGCGCCCGUGUGUGUGAGUGUGAGUGAGUGUGAGUGAGUGUGAGCGUGUCCCCGUCCUGCAGCCUCCAGGGCUCUUCCCUGGCCUCACCCCGCCCCCCGCGCUCCCUUCCCGCCCGGCACCGUCUGCGAACGUUUCCGAGAAGUCCCUGUGGCGGUUUGGUGGGAAGCGGGGGGAGGGCCCCAGGCCCGAGGGCACAGGCCGGGCCGGGGUCUGCGGGGCCCGGAGGAUUCGGGCUGCGAAUCGGUUCCUUCUCCCAGGCUUUGCCCAAGGAGACCGGAGAGGUGUGCGGAGGAGUCAGUGGCCGCGGCUGCAGGGGGAGACGUAGGUAGGGGAGAGGCUGCCUUCGCAGACCUGGACCCGCGCGUCUGGAUCCAUCGUCGGUCAUAGAGGUUCCAAGUUUAGAGCUGGGCUCUCCACUGAAGGGUGAACUUGGUCACUUGAGAUAAUUCUUAAUGCCACAUCACAGCCACCUCAUCUUCUCUUCCGUGAUUGGUCGCGUAGAAGAGUUCAACUGUACUAAGAGUGAGAGCCCUUUUUUUUUUAUUACACUUAAUCAAUGCUGCUUUCUCUUUUUUGACACCUUCAAGUCCCUCCUCAACUAAAUUGUCCAGUGCAGUCACAGUGAAGUAAAAUGAGCUCAAUCAACCCUUUGUCUUAAAGCUCCCUGACAUCUGAUCUCAUUUCCAUCAGGAGAUAAUCCAUAUGAUAUUCAGAAUAAUUAUAAGACAGGCACCUUUGGUGGGUUGUCAUAUAGCACCACCCAGAAAACAGCACUUGGGAUAGUAAUGAAAUAUUGGGCUGGGUAACCCAUUAGUAUAAUGAAGUGUAGCAGUUUUUACUAGUGGAGAAAAAAAGUAUGUUGCAUCAGUGUGUUAGGAAAGAGAUUUGGUAUCCCUUUUCCUCUGCCACUAAGAAAAUAAUGAAUAACCUAC
rnacentral:lncRNA from 1 species